CUAAAACUGUAAGAGAGUUCCUGACUGUGACCCUUAACAGUCAUUCUCUUACCUUAUAACAAACCUAGAAAUGAGAAAAUGCUUGAGCAGAUUGGCCUGGUGGUGUGGGAGGAUGAAUGGAUUCUUGGGGAUAUUGGGGGUUAGCUUGAGCAGCACACCGAUGAUCCAGUAGCUUCAGUGAUCUCAGCCAGGAAGCUUAAAAUAGACCAGCAAGUGGAUCUGAGAUGUUUUUAGCAAGCUGGUUGCUGACUUACUGUGGCCUUUGCCAAAAUCAGCAAUCAGAGAAGGAAGAGAGGCUGGUUUACCACAUUUCUCCUUAGCUCCUGUUUCCCCACAGGUCUCCAUUAGGAUAUCAGCAAGUAAUUACUCAUGGCCAUAAAUCCAUUCUGGAACAAGGGGAGGCUUCUUGUGAAAGUCAAGUCCAGAAUGUGCUCAGUAAUGAAAGUAAAUAGGGCACAGAACAUGAGAACAUGAACAGGCCUGGAGAAGAGAUGUCCCAAGUCCAUCAUUGCGCAAAGGAGGAAACUGAAGCCCAGAGAGGAAGACAAGUGACCCAGGAUGACAGCUACUGAGUGGAGCAGAGUCAUACCUGGCCCUGAAUCUUCAGACUUCCAGCCUGAGCCUCCCAAGCCUCAUCUUUUGUUGUUUGGCAAAAAGGGCUGCAUAGCAAUGCAAAGUCAGGUGGAACGGAGCACAGGCCUAAGCUUGGCAAAUGUCCCUGAAAACCUGUUGCGAUGAUUAAAAGUUAAUAUGUGUUGGGCGCUUCACACAGUGUCUGGGCCAUAGCAGAUGCUCAGAAGAGGGCUGUCCAUGGGAAAAGUCCACACUGGGUCAUCCCAAGAAAGAUGGGUUUGUUGUGCCCGUGCUUUCACCCGCAUCAAGCCCACAAUUACCCAGUGUCCAUUCCAUGAAGGUGUGGAAAAGGGUCUUUGAUCAAUUUAAAGAUUAGUUUGGUAGUCAUAGAUAGAUAGAGUGAAUGCAACAUGAAGAGAAAAGUCUCAAUGUUUUUUCUAGGAACUGCUAUAGGAAUGAGUUUGGUGACUUUCACUAUCUGAGAUCCCUUAUCUGCAUCUCUAAGCCUGAGGCUCAGCCUGAAUGAAGGACCAGUGUUUCCCCCAUGUGCAGUCUGAGGCCCACUUGGAAAUGCUCCCCUGGGCUUGGAAAAUUCCCCAAGGGGAGAAAGAUCCAUGUCAGUCCCUACCCAGGGCUUCCAGCAUGGAGGUGGCUGGAGGAGGCAGGCUGGCUGGCUCUGCAUUCUUCAUGCCCCUGUUCUCUAUGGCAGGCCUCCUGCAGUCUCUGUGCUGACAUUAAGUGGUCUGAGCAGUGCUGUGGGAGGACAUGGUAAACUUGCCUGCUUGUAACAGAGAAGCGAGGGCUUUGGUGACUUCCAAGAUUUAAGCAUACAUUUUUCCAAAUCUUUUGGACCCUAACAUGCAUGGUCUGAGAACUUCUUGGCUCACUGCUGAAUCCCCUUAACCCCACAGCCACCCGUUUGUUCACUGUCCUCAUUAUGCUCCCUCCCUGUCCCUGCCUAGGGCAACAGGAGCCUCAGAGCCUUGUAUACAACCACUGUGGCUGUAUUUUCCUUAUUUUGAUACAGAACUCACUCCAGGCUUCAUUUCCUUCUCCUCCUAUUUCAAACCCUCUCUUGCCUGGGACUUCCCAGCCUCAACCUUGUUGACAUCACUCCCAGGUUCUCCUUUCUGGCUUUCAUCUAGCUGCUUCUCAGUGCAGCAUCUUUGAAUCCACCCCUUCAGCAACACACUCAACAGUUACAAGCACCUGAAGUCCUGUUCUUGGGGCCAACCCAGUAACCAGAUCUAGGUUGGGCUCAGGGCCAAGGUGCAGGGGAGAUAGAAACGUUUCCAACAAUAUCUAAAUUCAAUUUCUGUGACAGCCAGUGUCAUUGCCCUCAUCCAUCCCAUGCCCAGUAUCCUUUGGGCCCUAAAGUUUCAGUAUCUACAUCUUUGUACAUGAGGGUUUUUACCCCUUCCUUUCCUUAGAAGUGCCACAGCCCCCAGAGUAGCUUUCAACAAACACUAACAACACUAACAAGAGGUGGUGUGUAAAUACUCCAGCUUCCCUGUGCCUCAGGUGGUAAGGCUCUGAGAAGUGGGUUUCCCACCACGGUCUUUCCAUGGGUUAAGGUCUCAGCCAGGGUAACUGGUUUAGUAACUCACAUGUUAUUGGCAGCUUUCACUUCUCUACCACACCCCUCCAGUGGACCCUACAUCUUCCAAAUAAACCUCUUGUGCUCAAAUCUGUGUCUUAAAGUUAGCUUCCAGGGAAAGCCAAAGUAAGACAGUUUUGAAACUCAUUCCUUGGUGGGAAAUUGGAAAUGGACCAAGACUAGAAAGGAUGAGUAGGCUGUUGUCAUGCCACACCGACGGAGGUGCUCAAUCUGGGCUCUAAGCAGUGCCCAGCCUACACACGCGACCUUGAUGGAGGUCACCCCCCUCCAUGUGAAGCCCUCAGCAGCUCACCCACCUCACCCUGGUCCUGGCCCCACCUGUGGAGGAAUCUGAAGUGGCAUCCUGAAUGCUAAUUCUUAUUAUCUGUAAUAGCAUCACCAGUUUGGAGUUGCCUGAUAAUUUCAUAUCUAUGCAAUUAUUGUUAAUGUAACUAUCUUCCAUUUUAGAAUGUGAUCUCUGAAAGAUCUUGUGCUAGUUUGAAUCAUUUUCAGAUUAUGUAAUAGGACACUGUGAGGACUAAAUUGUUUUUCCUUUCUCCCUAAAUUCAUCUUGGAGCCCUAAACCUCAAUGUGACUGUAUUUGGAGAUAAAGCCUUUAAUUAGGUAAGUAAGGGUACAUGAGGUCAUAAAGAUGGGGCCCAGAUCUGAUAGGACUGUUGGUAACAGACACCAGAAAUCUCCUCUCCUGUGCACUCAAAGAGACUCUAUGUGCCCAGAGCGAGACGGUGGCUGCCCAGAAGCCAAAAGAAGAGGCCUCAGCGUGCAACCUACCUUUCCAUGC
ensembl:lncRNA